rfam:Camelus ferus unplaced genomic scaffold scaffold1405, whole genome shotgun sequence.
GAGGGUAUAGCUCAGUGGUAGAGUGCAGGCUUAGCAUGCACAGGGUCCUGAGUUCAAUCCUCAGUGCCUCCA